rnacentral:rRNA from 1 species
UAAAAUUUUGUAAUCAGGUCAUUUUUACCAUUGCCGAAUUCGCAAUUCGUUAAAUCAAGAUCCGUAGGUGAACCUGCGGAAGGAUC